rnacentral:rRNA from 1 species
AUGCAAGUCGAACGAUGAAGCUGGAGCUUGCUCCAGUGGAUUAGUGGCGAACGGGUGAGUAACACGUGAGCAAUCUGCCCUUGACUCUGGGAUAACUGCGGGAAACUGUAGCUAAUACCGGAUACGACACCUUGGGGCAUCCUAGGGUGUGGAAAGAAUUUCGGUCAAGGAUGAGCUCGCGGCCUAUCAGCUAGUUGGUGAGGUAAUGGCUCACCAAGGCGACGACGGGUAGCCGGCCUGAGAGGGUGACCGGCCACACUGGAACUGAGAUACGGUCCAGACUCCUACGGGAGGCAGCAGUGGGGAAUAUUGGACAAUGGGCGCAAGCCUGAUCCAGCCAUGCCGCGUGUGUGAAGAAGGCCUUCGGGUUGUAAAGCACUUUUGUUGGGAAAGAAAAGCGGUCGGUUAAUACCCGGUCGUUCUGACGGUACCCAAAGAAUAAGCACCGGCUAACUUCGUGCCAGCAGCCGCGGUAAUACGAAGGGUGCAAGCGUUACUCGGAAUUACUGGGCGUAAAGCGUGCGUAGGUGGUUUGUUAAGUCAGAUGUGAAAGCCCCGGGCUCAACCUGGGAAUUGCAUUUGAUACUGGCAGACUAGAGUGCGGUAGAGGAGAGUGGAAUUCCCGGUGUAGCAGUGAAAUGCGUAGAGAUCGGGAGGAACAUCAGUUGCGAAGGCGGCUCUCUGGACCAGCACUGACACUGAGGCACGAAAGCGUGGGGAGCAAACAGGAUUAGAUACCCUGGUAGUCCACGCCCUAAACGAUGCGAACUGGACGUUGGGAUCAAUUGAGAUUUCAGUGUCGAAGCUAACGCGUUAAGUUCGCCGCCUGGGGAGUACGGUCGCAAGACUGAAACUCAAAGGAAUUGACGGGGGCCCGCACAAGCGGUGGAGUAUGUGGUUUAAUUCGA